rnacentral:rRNA from 1 species
UACGUAGGGACCAAGCGUUGUUCGGAUUUACUGGGCGUAAAGGGCGCGUAGGCGGCGUGUCAAGUCAAUUGUGAAAUCUCCGGGCUUAACUCGGAACGGUCAAUUGAUACUGAUGUGCUAGAGUGCAGAAGGGGCAAUCGGAAUUCUUGGUGUAGCGGUGAAAUGCGUAGAUAUCAAGAGGAACACCUGAGGUGAAGACGGGUUGCUGGGCUGACACUGACGCUGAGGCACGAAAGCUAGGGUAGCAAACGGG